rnacentral:rRNA from 1 species
UGCCAGACUCCUACGGGAGGCAGCAGUGGGGAAUAUUGCACAAUGGGGGAAACCCUGAUGCAGCGACGCCGCGUGAGUGAAGAAGUAUUUCGGUAUGUAAAGCUCUAUCAGCAGGGAAGAAAAUGACGGUACCUGAUUAAGAAGCCCCCGCUAACUACGUGCCAGCAGCCGCGGUAAUACGUAGGGGGCAAGCGUUAUCCGGAUUUACUGGGUGUAAAGGGAGCGUAGACGGUUAUGUAAGUCUGGAGUGAAAGCCCGGGGCCCAACCCCGGGACUGCUUUGGAAACUGUGUAACUGGAGUACAGGAGGGGCAGGCGGAAUUCCUGGUGUAGCGGUGAAAUGCGUAGAUAUCAGGAGGAACACCGGCGGCGAAGGCGGCCUGCUGGACUGAAACUGACGUUGAGGCUCGAAAGCGUGGGGAGCAAACAGGAUUAGAUACCCUCGUA